rnacentral:rRNA from 1 species
GACGAACGCUGGCGGCGUGCCUAAUACAUGCAAGUAGAACGCACAGGAUGCACCGUAGUUUACUACACCGUAUUCUGUGAGUUGCGAACGGGUGAGUAACGCGUAGGUAACCUGCCUGGUAGCGGGGGAUAACUAUUGGAAACGAUAGCUAAUACCGCAUAAGAACAUUUACUGCAUGGUAGAUGUUUAAAAGGUGCAAAUGCAUCACUACCAGAUGGACCUGCGUUGUAUUAGCUAGUAGGUGAGGUAACGGCUCACCUAGGCGACGAUACAUAGCCGACCUGAGAGGGUGAUCGGCCACACUGGGACUGAGACACGGCCCAGACUCCUACGGGAGGCAGCAGUAGGGAAUCUUCGGCAAUGGGGGGAACCCUGACCGAGCAACGCCGCGUGAGUGAAGAAGGUUUUCGGA